GCGAAAGCCUGUAUUUCCUAAGUAUUCCAGACAAUCCAAAUAUUUCAUCAAAGACUAGAUGAUCACUUUUGAAAACUGGAUCAGCCCCGGGGGUUAAUUUCUCAUAAAGCUGCAUUGCUGAGCUUUUUUAAACACCCGGGCGAACAUGCUGAGUCUCAGCCCAGAGUGGAGAGCCCAGGGCGGGAAAGUUCCCGAGGGUCCCAGCCCUCCGUGAGGUCUGCUCGGCGGAGCCCCGGCUGGAGCACCGGGGAUCAGGGAGGCCCGAAGCAGCGCGGGGCGUCGGGUGGCCCCGGGAAGCUGCGGUCGCGCCGGGAGCCUCUCCCGGUUGCCGGCUGCCUAGUCAGCCGCUUCCUGCCACUGGGUCCGGGGAGAGCCGCGCUCCGCGCCACCAUCCCGCCCGCCCGCACGCCCGCCCAGGAUGCGCUCGCCUGCCAGGGACGCGCUCACACCUCGCACAAAAGGCGCCGCGGCGGGACGGCCGGGAGUAGGCGGCCGCUGCCUCCCGGAACUUUGCGGACAUCGCACCGCAGCUCCACAGCUCCGAGCCCCCGGCGCAGGAGGAGGCCGAGGCGGCGGCGGAGAGUCGGGGCAUCGCCCGGCAGUGCCUCCGCCUUGCCGGCUGCCGGCGGCUCCCGCCCCCGGUUAACCAGCGCUCGCUCUUAAAGGCGCCCGCUGCUGGUUAGGCCGCGAGAGCUAGAAUGGAGAAGUUGGUGUUUUCCUACCCAAAAUGCCAGCUUUCCCACUGGGAAGACAGAUCCGUGGGUAAAGCUGAUUGCCACCCAAGUUCAGUGACCUGAGUUUGAGUCCCCAAGAUGAUGGAAGAACUAACUGCCCAACAUGGUUCUUUGACCACCACAUAGAGGCCUCAGCAUGAAUGAACCCCCCCCCCCACACACACACAGAGAGAGAGAGAGAGAGAGAGAGAGAGAGAGAGAGAGAGAGAGAGAAUGUAAUAAAAAUUAAAAUAUGUUAGCUUCUGCUUGUUUCUUCCCACAUAGGAAACUUUCUAAUUGUCACAGAUCUAAACCAUUUCAUAUUUUUCUUUUCACUUGUAAAUGUUAUAGGAUUCCUUACAUGUCAUAUCUAUAGCUCUAGAAGAGACUUUAGAACUUCCCUUUCAUUUAAGGAAUAAAGAAAUGAAAUCUCAACAUCUGACUUGCUGGGGCCACACGGCUGUUCUCUGCUUCAGUUGUGUGCCUGCUUCUAAAUGUACAGAAGCGUGAUGGAGAAUGUGGCCCCACUCCCCAUGAAAGUAAAUUGAGCUGAGGAGAGAUGUCCCUCCAGUGCAGAAACACAAUCUUGAGGCAUCAAUGUGAAUUCUGAUUCUUAGCCAGCCAUGGCAGGAUGAGCCCAGAAUUCAGCAAUGGAGAGCAGAAAUCGGAGCACCCCUGGAACUUGUCAGUGAGCCAGUCUAAAGGAAUCAGUGAGCUCCAGGUUCAAUAGAAUAGCCUAUCUCAUAAUAUGGUGGAGAAUGAUUAAGAGUCCUAAUGUGACCUCUGACCUCCACAGACACACAUGUGCACACACUCAGACAUGCUCACACACAUAUGAUAAGAUCAGGCCUCAAAAAUAAGCGCUAGAGAUGGGAGUCAUCUUAAAAGUGCUUUUGGUUUUGGGUUUUUGUUUUGUUUGUUUGUUUGUUUGCUUGUUUUUAAAGGAAGUGAUUCUGCAGCCUUUAAAGACAUACAAAGGCAAGAAACACCUGCGUGCAUACAUAAAUGGGAAAAAGCCUUGGUGGGGAAAAGGUAUUGCCUUUUGUUGGAAUAGAAAAGAGCCCUGGAUUUUCUGGCUUAGAUAAAAGUCUCUAAUAGGCCCAAUAUUAUUUUCUCUGUGUGUGUUAGAGGCACAGACUAGAAAUCUCACCUCGUAUAUGCACUAAGCAAGUGCUCUACCACACGGCUAAAUGCCUAGACUCUACCGUUAUUGCUCUCAUUAGACAAAGUAAAAACCUGUGUACUCCUUUAAAAUAUUCACUCAUUUUUAGAUAUUAUUGUCAGUACGUUCCAUCAUAUAUGUUCAGAGUGAUGUAAAUGCUGUCUUCCUUUCAGUCAUGUUCAAGGUUAAGUUCAAAAAGCCUUGUUUCCGAAGCCAAAUAGACUAGAUACGAAACUACUUUUCUGGCAAGAUAUUAAGCAAAUAGUGUCUUUCUAAGACUCAGUUUCUCGCUAGGUAAGCCGGCACAUUGCUUUUGUCCUGGCAAUCAGGGGGCUAAUGGAGGAGGAUCAUGAGUUCUAGGACAGCUGGAGUAACAUGCCAAGUCCCUGUCUCAAAGGAAGGAAAAGAAGCCUCGCUCCAUAUGUACCCAAGGUUUACAGCAUAGCCAGGUACACAGGGUAAGGCCUAUAAAUGGUUGAUCUAAUGCUAGCUCAACUGAAAUUUCUCAGCACUGACUACACAUUCGAAUCACCAGAAAACUUGCUAAAAAUAGCACCUGGGACCCACCCUCAGUGAAGCUGGACAGAAAUGAAACAGAAGCUCCUUGGCGAUUCGGAUUCGCCAUGGCUGGGAGCCCCGGGAUGUCCACACAGCAGAAUUCAUCUAGACCUGGGGAGCAUGAUGGUAUGGGAGCUCUUUCUUCCAUACCCACAGUGAUCCUGACGGAUCUUUCUGGGUUUGCAGCGGUGCUACAGAGCAUGGCAGGCAGGUGGUAGACGUCUAACUGCUUUCCGCUCUGCACUGCCCCUGAAACAUUCUCAGCUGUGGUGCAGACCGCAUGUGGUUUAUCUCAGUCGGCAGCACGGCCUGAAUCCUAAGCCAUAAUCUCUUCUGUGCCUUUCUGCAUGUAUAAUUUAUGGGCAGUUAUCAGCACAUGGGAGUCUCUGGACGAGUUAAAAGGGAAGAAAACACCACCAAAGAGUUCCUCAGGAAGAGGUCUAGAAGCAAGAAAUAAGUGGUUUUGGAUCCCUGGAU
ensembl:processed_transcript